UGGUUUGAUGAAUUUCGUUAUUUUUAUGGGAUUCUUGACCACUAUCUCUUAAAAUAUUUCUUCCGCCCUGUUCUCUCACUCUUCUUCUCUUGUCCAGAAGACGGAUCUGAGGACCCAUCCCCACACAGCCAUCAGUUACCUUCUGUGUGCCUGCACUGUGGAGGAAGCCUUUCUCCCGGCUCCUGCCUGCCUGUCAUCCUCCUCAGGAGCAUCCAGGGGAAGGCUUGUGAGUGAGGGAGCACAGACUGCCCUGUGUCUGGAGCACCCAACUGUUUUGGAGCGAUGCACUAGCCCACACGGGGCCGUCGGCAGUUGGUUAAAACCUAAGCUUAUUUCUCGUUCCCCACUUGCACCUGCUGGCCCUCUCUCCCAUGCUCUACUCCAGGUGACACCGUGAGUGAGUUCCAUCUCUCCUCACAAGGCCUUAACUCUUUGGAAUUCUGGUAGUUAGCUGCCUUGUGAUCUCAGCUCUCUGAUGGGUUUGAGAAAAACUGAUUGCGUAGCAGGUUAAGAUGGGGUAAUAUUUAUAGCUUUCUUCAUCCCAAGCGGAAGUGGCAUCUCCACUGGUUACACUUUGAAUUCAUGACUCCAUACUCUUUCCUGCUGCUGGGCAAUCCCACUCCAUCUCUCUGGUGUAAUCAUUCUCUCAUUCUCCUGGAUGACUGCUUCAGUUUUCCCUCUCUCCUCCUGCAAACUCACUCUCAGCUGAUGAAUUUGCUUCCCAUUUCACUGUAAAAGCAAAAGCAACCUUCCACCAACUCUCACUAUGACACCUACCCAUCUACCUGUGUCUACCCUCUGCCUUCCCUCCUGUUAGAGGAUGAACAGCCAAUGAUCCUAGCAGAGAACCACACCCUUAUUUGUCCAUCAGACAAUUCCCAUAGUCUCUCAUCUACUCAAAGAUGUCUCUCCAGCAUUUCUCUUCUCCCUCUCUGGUCAUCAACUUUCCCUCUCUGCCUCAAACAGCAAACUCUGCUCCCUUCUAAACUUGUCUAGGUAUACAAUAUAACAGAACCCUAUAUUUAUGUAUUUUACUUUCCCAUCAUGGUUAUGUCGGACUUUAUUGCCAUUUAUAAAAAUGGAGGCGGGCCUAAUAAGCUUCCUUUGCACUUUUCUAAUUCUUUCAAAUUCUAUUCCUGUAGACUCCUUCAACUUGGCGUGCAAAUCGCUGAAAAUACUCGUGCUGCCAGCAGAGGGCGCCCUCAUUGUGCCCAUGCUCCGUCCAGGAAGUGCAUAGUGGAGUCCAAAGGAGAUUUGGUCUGGGAAACAUUUGCCCGGGGUUUCUGGUUAUCAUAUUUCCCCAACAGGCACCUGUUUGACUGGCAUUUCCUGGCUCACACCCAUCUUAGCAUAUUUCUUUGUUGGUUGAUUGGCUUGAAGGAAGGUUUCAGUAAUUCAUUACUUCACAUCAUCAGAGCGGAACCCCAUAAGCAAUUAACCCUUCACAAGCUGAGUCACCGGACUUUGGAUAAUACAGGAUUAGACCAUUUAGCUGAAGCAGCUCAAGUCUGUAAAUAUGCAUGGGUUUCUGGAGCCUUUGGCAAUGCCUUAUAUGGAUUUCCUGAAUCAUCAGCAGAACACAGAGAGGUAACCUGAUUCUUCUGCUUGAGUGGCUUCACGAAGCAGCGAACACUUUUCCUGUCCAUUGUUGAACCCCUCAUGCCUAACCCAGUGCCUAGAACACAGGCUCGUCAUAGAUGUGUGGAAUGAAUGGAUGAAAGAAAACAACGAAGAGCCAGUUGUCGGUGGAGGAUCCCAAAGGAGCAGUUCCGCCUUCAUGUUGAAGACUUUCUUUGCCCUGCAUGUUGUAACCACAUAAAGCUAGCUGGGAGCCACGUGGCUGCCCUCAUUGUUGCUCCUUGGCAAUGUUCUCUCUGUGCCAGGCAUCAAACAUGAGCCCCUCAGUGGGAUCCCUGCCCUGUGUGCGCCCCAAUACCUGGACACUUCCUGGAUGCUCCAAGAGGAUGGAGAUUUGCCCCUCCCGACUUUCCCAUGAUUAAUGUUUGUCCGUAGCCUUGUCACAACCAACCUUGGGAGUGUUGCUGGGUUCUGGUGGGGGUCCCUCCUGAGAGAGGCCUUUCUAUUCUGUGAGGUGAAUUGAAGGCUGUCAAACCUUUCGCUCAAACUGGUCUCAUCUGCAUCAAGUCGUACAGAAAUUCCUUGAAAUGUCUGGUAUGUGGGUGGAAUCCUUUUUCAGUUUUGAAGAAUGACAGAUUUUCCCCUAUCAUUAUUUUCCUUUGGCUGUGUCAAUGGGAGUUUGGAAGAGAGACAGGAUGGGAAGUUCAAUGUGAGGAUUUGAAUGCCUGUCACAGAAUAGAAGUCUGUCCUUGUACUUUUCCUAGUCUCUUUAGACAAAGUCCCCUCCACCUUAUAGCCCUAUGUAU
ensembl:lncRNA